rnacentral:sRNA from 1 species
GCUACUGCUGAUCUACCACUUCUUAGAG